rnacentral:lncRNA from 1 species
UGACUCUGAUCACCAAGCUUCACAAGUUCCAACAUGAAGCAUCGUCUGAUCAGAAGUCAACUAGGAUAAGGCUCACGUCGCUGUCCAAGUACAAAAGCAAUUGUACUAUCCUGACGACCUUACCUAAGAUGUUCAGCCACAACAGAAUCUGGAAGUUCCGAAUUUGCCCUCCAACGGUAGCAUUUCAAACAGCGAAUACAACCCUAAUCCUUGGAGUAUAAAUAGAGGCUGAAGAUUGAAGAAGCGACUAAGAAACUUUGUACAAGCUUAAGCAACCAUUCAAUAUUCUCUUAGCAUUCUUUCUUCAAUAGUUCUUACUGUGUUUACCUUAGCUUUCUCAGAAGCACUCAUUGUAAACCCAAAACCCUCAAACAGUUAGUUUGAUUUCCUU